CCAAGACUAAAUAUUAGCAAGAGACCGAUAGCGAACAAGUACCGUGAGGGAAAGAUGAAAAGCACUCUGAAGAGAGAGUGAAAUAGUACGUGAAAUUGCUGAAAGGGAAACGCUUGAGACGAUUGUUGCUCUUGGUUGAAUCAGUUUCGGCUGCUCUUUAGCCAUGUUGGCAAGUCAGCAGCAUUUUCGGGUGGCAUUGACGCUUUUCAAGAAUGUAGCAACCGUUCGCGGUUGUGUUAUAGCUUGGGAUUCGCCAUGUUGCUUGAGAGUGAGGACUGCUUGGCUCUUUACCUGUAGUUUGUGUGUUUGGUUUGGCAAUUAAAGGCCUUGGCUUAACCUCCAAGACUUUAGCUGUCAAGUUAGGCACUGCAAGUUGCAAGUGGGAGCUGAAAGGUUGCUGACAAAAUUGUCUUAAUCGACCCGUCUUGAAACACGGACCAAGGAGUGCAACAAAUAUGCGAGUCGUAGGGUGACAAACCUGAAGGCGCAAUGAAAGUAAAAAGGUAAGAAGGUGCUUUUAACACGGUACCUGCAUUACCGCCCGGCCAUGCAGCUUAAUGCUAAACGGUCUGAGGUAGAGCAUAU
rnacentral:rRNA from 1 species